AGAUACUACUUUCUGAAAACUAGAACUAAUAAGAAAAACUCCAAGGAGAAAAACCUUUAAAUGGCCUCAAAGAACUGUGAAAAGCACUAUCUCAAGUUGCUCUCUGACUGCCAGAUGUGAUCACCAGGCUGGGAUAUCCUCACGUGUCCUGGAGUGCCCAUGGAAAUCCAGCAACUGCAAUGGUUUGGUGCUACUCAGUGUGACUUAAUUGAGAAUAAAUUUUUCUGCAUAUGA